UUCCUUUCCUCUCUCUCUAUCUCUCUCUGCUCGAUCUCUCUCAUCUAUCUCACUGUGCGUCGCACGCAAGAUCUCUCCCUCUCUCCUCUCUUGUCUCGCAAUCAAGGUCAUCGUCGCCUUCCUCCUGGUUCCAGAGAGCUCGCCUUCCUCCUAGUUUCGUCUUCCUCGCUGUCUUCUUUGCCGUCUUCCUCAUUCUUCAUCACUGUCAUCAGCUUCUCCCUUCCGGUAAUUCCCUCCUAUGAUUUCUGUGAUUUGAAUUAUUAUAGCAUUGGUGUAAUUUUUGUAAUUAGGGUAAUUUGGUUUGAUGUAUGUGAUUUGAUAUUAGUUGUUGUUAAUUUUGACGAAUUGUUUAAUUCUUAAUAGAUGCAACGCUUUGAGAUAGUUAAUGGUGUCACUGAAGUUGAAGGAAUAGCAGAGGAGAAAACUGCAGGUGCUGAAGAGGAUGAAGAAAAAGGAGUACCUGCUUUUUGGCUCAAUGCAAUGAAAAACAAUGAAG